GCUGGGCGCCGUGGCGCAUGCCUGUAAUCCCAGCAGCUCGGGAGGCUGAGACAGGAGGAUCAUGAGUUCAAAGCCAGCCUCCACAAAGAUGAGGGGCUAAGCAACUCAGUGAGACCCUGUCUCUA
rnacentral:sRNA from 1 species